rnacentral:rRNA from 1 species
UACGGAGGUGGCGAGCGUUACUCGGAAUCAUUGGGUGUAAAGGGCAAGUAGGCGGUUUGUUAAGUGAGGGGUGAAAUCUUCCGACUCAAUCGGAAAAAUGCCUUUCAAACUGGCAAGCUUGAGACCGAAAGAGGAAAACGGAAGUAGCAGUGUAAGGGUGAAAUCUGUAGAUAUUGCUAAGAACACCAGCGGCGAAGGCGGUUUUCUGGUUCGGUUCUGACGCUGAAUUGCGAAAGCUAGGGGAGCAAACGGA